AAGAUCGUGGAACGCAUCAGAAGCGUUCUGUUGGAACGCCAGAUACUGUACAUUGAGUUCUUGAACCGCACAGGGUUCCGUCGAGCCAAUCAGAUGCAAGCAGGCGUGACUUCGAAUACCUUCAACCAAUCGUCGCGCAGUGGUCGCGGCUUCGCACCGGCGUUGUAAACAGUGUAAAGCAGGAGUCUGGAGAUGUGUAUAAAUAUCAGUGUGUCCCCAGUGCUGUCUUAUGAACUCAUGCCGCGCAUCAGCUGCUUGUAGACCGCACUGUUUCCCUGGAGCUGACGGCAAUCUGCUCACGCUACAGGACCCUGUGAAGGACAAGAGUUUCCACCCAUUUCAUCAUCAUCUUGAAAAUCAAGGUAUGCAAUGCUUUAUUACUCUCUAUUGUGCAUGUGACAAUACUGAAAAGCAUACUUCCACUGGAAAUCACUGGUGUAAUUGUGCUUGUGUAAACCAGUUAGCCGGGAAUGAAUUAGAUCCACAUUCCUCCCAAAA
rnacentral:lncRNA from 12 species